rnacentral:rRNA from 1 species
GCUUAGAAGCAGCCAUCAUUUAAAGAAAGCGUAAUAGCUCACUGGUCGAGUCGGCCUGCGCGGAAGAUGUAACGGGGCUAAACCAUGCACCGAAGCUGCGGCAGCGACGCUUAUGCGUUGUUGGGUAGGGGAGCGUUCUGUAAGCCUGUGAAGGUGGCCUGUGAGGGUUGCUGGAGGUAUCAGAAGUGCGAAUGCUGACAUAAGUAACGAUAAAGCGGGUGAAAAGCCCGCUCGCCGGAAGACCAAGGGUUCCUGUCCAACGUUAAUCGGGGCAGGGUGAGUCGACCCCUAAGGCGAGGCCGAAAGGCGUAGUCGAUGGGAAACAGGUUAAUAUUCCUGUACUUGGUGUUACUGCGAAGGGGGGACGGAGAAGGCUAUGUUGGCCGGGCGACGGUUGUCCCGGUUUAAGCGUGUAGGCUGGUUUUCCAGGCAAAUCCGGAAAAUCAAGGCUGAGGCGUGAUGACGAGGCACUACGGUGCUGAAGCGACAAAUGCCCUGCUUCCAGGAAAAGCCUCUAAGCAUCAGGUAACAUUAAAUCGUACCCCAAACCGACACAGGUGGUCAGGUAGAGAAUACCAAGGCGCUUGAGAGAACUCGGGUGAAGGAACUAGGCAAAAUGGUGCCGUAACUUCGGGAGAAGGCACGCUGAUAUGUAGGUGAAGCGACUUGCUCGUGGAGCUGAAAUCAGUCGAAGAUACCAGCUGGCUGCAACUGUUUAUUAAAAACACAGCACUGUGCAAACACGAAAGUGGACGUAUACGGUGUGACGCCUGCCCGGUGCCGGAAGGUUAAUUGAUGGGGUUAGCGGUAACGCGAAGCUCUUGAUCGAAGCCCCGGUAAACGGCGGCCGUAACUAUAACGGUCCUAAGGUAGCGAAAUUCCUUGUCGGGUAAGUUCCGACCUGCACGAAUGGCGUAAUGAUGGCCAGGCUGUCUCCACCCGAGACUCAGUGAAAUUGAACUCGCUGUGAAGAUGCAGUGUACCCGCGGCAAGACGGAAAGACCCCGUGAACCUUUACUAUAGCUUGACACUGAACAUUGAGCCUUGAUGUGUAGGAUAGGUGGGAGGCUUUGAAGUGUGGACGCCAGUCUGCAUGGAGCCGACCUUGAAAUACCACCCUUUAAUGUUUGAUGUUCUAACGUGGGCCCCUUACCGGGGUUGCGGACAGUGUCUGGUGGGUAGUUUGACUGGGGCGGUCUCCUCCUAAAGAGUAACGGAGGAGCACGAAGGUUGGCUAAUCCUGGUCGGACAUCAGGAGGUUAGUGCAAUGGCAUAAGCCAGCUUGACUGCGAGCGUGACGGCGCGAGCAGGUGCGAAAGCAGGUCAUAGUGAUCCGGUGGUUCUGAAUGGAAGGGCCAUCGCUCAACGGAUAAAAGGUACUCCGGGGAUAACAGGCUGAUACCGCCCAAGAGUUCAUAUCGACGGCGGUGUUUGGCACCUCGAUGUCGGCUCAUCACAUCCUGGGGCUGAAGUAGGUCCCAAGGGUAUGGCUGUUCGCCAUUUAAAGUGGUACGCGAGCUGGGUUUAGAACGUCGUGAGACAGUUCGGUCCCUAUCUGCCGUGGGCGCUGGAGAACUGAGGGGGGCUGCUCCUAGUACGAGAGGACCGGAGUGGACGCAUCACUGGUGUUCGGGUUGUCAUGCCAAUGGCACUGCCCGGUAGCUAAAUGCGGAAGAGAUAAGUGCUGAAAGCAUCUAAGCACGAAACUUGCCCCGAGAUGAGUUCUCCCUGACUCCUUGAGAGUCCUGAAGGAACGUUGAAGACGACGACGUUGAUAGGCCGGGUGUGUAAGCGCAGCGAUGCGUUGAGCUAACCGGUACUAAUGAACCGUGAGGCUUAACCUU